GGAGGUAUAGCUCAGUUGGUACAGUGGGUGUCUGGCAUACACAAGGUCCUGUGUUCAAUUCCCAGUACCACCA
rfam:Ictidomys tridecemlineatus contig134938, whole genome shotgun sequence.